GACGAACGCUGGCGGCGUGCCUAAUACAUGCAAGUUGAGCGAUGAAGAUUGGUGCUUGCACCAAUUUGAAGAGCAGCGAACGGGUGAGUAACGCGUGGGGAAUCUGCCUUUGAGCGGGGGACAACAUUUGGAAACGAAUGCUAAUACCGCAUAACAACUUUAAACAUAAGUUUUAAGUUUGAAAGAUGCAAUUGCAUCACUCAAAGAUGAUCCCGCGUUGUAUUAGCUAGUUGGUGAGGUAAAGGCUCACCAAGGCGAUGAUACAUAGCCGACCUGAGAGGGUGAUCGGCCACAUUGGGACUGAGACACGGCCCAAACGCCUUCGGGAGGCAGCAGUAGGGAAUCUUCGGGCAUGGGUGAAAGUCUGACCGAGCAACGCCGCGUGAGUGAAGAAGGGUUUCGGAUCGUAAAACUCGGUUGGUGGAGAAGAACGUUGGUGAGAGUGGAAAGCUCAUCAAGUGACGGUAACUACCCAGAAAGGGACGGCUAACUACGUG
rnacentral:rRNA from 1 species